UACAGAGGGUGCGAGCGUUGUCCGGAAUCACUGGGCGUAAAGGGCGCGUAGGCGGUACGUCAAGCGUGCGGUGAAAGCCCGAGGCUCAACUUCGGGUCGGCCGUGCGAACUGGCGCACUCGAGCACAGUAGAGGCAGGUGGAAUUCCGGGUGUAGCGGUGGAAUGCGUAGAGAUCCGGAAGAACACCGGUGGCGAAGGCGGCCUGCUGGGCUGUGGCUGACGCUGAGGCGCGACAGCGUGGGGAGCAAACAGG
rnacentral:rRNA from 1 species